UACGUAGGGGGCAAGCGUUGUCCGGAUUUAUUGGGCGUAAAGAGCGUGUAGGCGGCCAGGUAGGUGGGUUGUGAAAACUGGAGGCUCAACCUUCAGAGGUCGACCCAAACCCCCCUGGCUAGAGUCCGGAAGAGGAGAGUGGAAUUCCUGGUGUAGCGGUGAAAUGCGCAGAUAUCAGGAGGAACACCGGCGGCGAAGGCGGUGCUCGUGGGCCGAUACUGACGCUGAGGAGCGAAAGCGUGGGGAGCGAACAGG
rnacentral:rRNA from 1 species